rnacentral:rRNA from 1 species
AACGAACGCUGGCGGCAGGCCUAACACAUGCAAGUCGAACGCCCCGCAAGGGGAGUGGCAGACGGGUGAGUAACACGUGGGAACAUACCCUUCGGUUCGGAAUAACUCAGGGAAACUUGAGCUAAGACCGGGAUACGUCCGCGAGGAGAAAGAUUCAUCGCCGGAGGAUUGGCCCGCGUCCGAUUAGCUAGUUGGUGAGGUAACGGCUCACCAAGGCGACGAUCGGUAGCUGGUCUGAGAGGAUGAUCAGCCACAUUGGGACUGAGACACGGCCGAAACUCCUACGGGAGGCAGCAGUGGGGAAUAUUGGACAAUGGGCGAAAGCCUGAUCCAGCCAUGCCGCGUGAGUGAUGAAGGCCCUAGGGUUGUAAAGCUCUUUCGUCAGGGACGAUAAUGACGGUACCUGAAGAAGAAG